ACUCUUCCUCCAUCAGCCUGGCUGGCAGCAGCCUUGGACUCCGCCCGUGGAGCCCUGGGCCUGUUGACCCACCAGCCUAGGAGCACCCACCAAGCUCUGGGUAAGGAAGCUCACCUUCUGGGGCUCUUCUGGGAAAAUAGAGGUCAACGUGGAGGUACCAGGCCACCAUGCUCAGUCUCAAGCUGCCCCAACUUCUUCAAGUCCACCAGGUCCCCCGGGUGUUCUGGGAAGAUGGCAUCAUGUCUGGCUACCGCCGCCCCACCAGCUCGGCUUUGGACUGUGUCCUCAGCUCCUUCCAGAUGACCAACGAGACGGUCAACAUCUGGACUCACUUCCUGCCCACCUGGUACUUCCUGUGGCGGCUCCUGGCGCUGGCUGGCGGCCCCGGCUUCCGUGCGGAGCCGUACCACUGGCCGCUGCUGGUCUUCCUGCUGCCCGCCUGCCUCUACCCCUUCGCGUCGUGCUGCGCGCACACCUUCAGCUCCAUGUCGCCCCGCGCGCGCCACAUCUGCUACUUCCUCGACUACGGCGCGCUCAGCCUCUACAGUCUGGUUUCCUGGAGCUGGAAAGCCCUGGGCUCAGUAAGGUCCUCCGCACAGGAGCCUUCGCCUAUCCAUUCCUGUUCGACAACCUCCCACUCUUUUAUCGGCUCGGGCUGUGCUGGGGCAGGGGCCACGGCUGUGGGCAGGAGGCCCUGAGCACCAGCCAUGGCUACCACCUCUUCUGCGCGCUGCUCACUGGCUUCCUCUUCGCCUCCCACCUGCCUGAAAGGCUGGCACCAGGACGCUUUGAUUACAUCGGCCACAGCCACCAGUUAUUCCACAUCUGUGCAGUGCUGGGCACCCACUUCCAGCUGGAGGCAGUGCUGGCUGAUAUGGGAUCACGCAGAGCCUGGCUGGCCACACAGGAACCUGCCCUGGGCCUGGCAGGCACAGUGGCCACACUGGUCUUGGCUGCAGCUGGGAACCUACUCAUUAUUGCUGCUUUCACAGCCACCCUGCUUCGGGCCCCCAGUACAUGCCCUCUGCUGCAGGGUGGCCCACUGGAGGGGGGUACCCAGGCCAAACAACAGUGAGGCCCCAUCCCUGACCCUGUCCUGGAGGGGGCAGAGGCCAGGCCCCAGUGCUGACGAGGAGCCCAGAUUUGGGCCUAAUCAGGUGGGGAUGCAUCUCAGCCUGGAACCAACAGGGGCUGAGGAGAGAGGGCACAGGAGAGAGGGCAGAGAAGAGGAGGGGUGUCUAGGGGGACUGGCAGAGUGUGAGAGGGACCGUGAGGGGGCUCUUGAUGGGAGUGGAAGAAGUGCUGAGGGUCUGAGAGGGGAGAUGCAUGCGUGUCCAGGCUGAAGAUGCCCCUAUAUUCUGUCAAAGGUUGGCGGGGGGAGGUGUUGGGGUCCUUUCAUCUGGCUCCGUUUCUGGUGCUUCUGGAAGUCUCUGCUCAGCACAGGGAAGAACUAACACGACUAACCUAGGCCUACCCUGAAUGCUUCUUGCUAACCAGGCCGAGAGGCCACACACUUGCCCCCCCCAUCCCCACAAACCAGGUAAUGCCAGUUUGCCAGCAGCUAUUUGCCUAUAGAGAUGAGUCUGUCCUGGUCAUAACUGUGUGCCCAAGGUGUCCAGGCUUUUGGGGGUGGGCCUAUCUGGGUGCAUUAUGGAUGGUUUGGUGGAUUGAGGUGUGGGGAGGAGGGUCCUAGGCUAGAGGGGGUAUCCCUAGUUAGACUUUGGGAAGCCACCUUCAAUGUUUUCUGGAACAAGGAAGGUACAAAUAAAAAAAAAAAACUUUG
rnacentral:sRNA from 1 species